AAAUUCCGUCGGAAUCCGGGAGGACCAUCUCCCAAGGCUAAAUACUCCCUAGUGACCGAUAGUGAACCAGUACCGUGAGGGAAAGGUGAAAAGCACCCCGGAAGGGGAGUGAAACAGUUCCUGAAACCGUGUGCCUACAAGUAGUUAGAGCCCGUUAAUGGGUGAUAGCGUGCCUUUUGUAGAAUGAACCGGCGAGUUACGAUUUGUUGCAAGGUUAAGCGGAAAAAGCGGAGCCGUAGCGAAAGCGAGUCUGAAUAGGGCGCAUAAGUAACAGGUCGUAGACCCGAAACCAGGUGAUCUACCCAUGUCCAGGAUGAAGGUAAGGUAAUACUUACUGGAGGUCCGAACCCACGCACGUUGAAAAGUGCGGGGAUGAGGUGUGGGUAGCGGAGAAAUUCCAAUCGAACUUGGAGAUAGCUGGUUCUCUCCGAAAUAGCUUUAGGGCUAGCCUCGAGGUAAAGAGUCAUGGAGGUAGAGCACUGUUUGGACUAGGGGCCCUUCUCGGGUUACCGAAUUCAGAUAAACUCCGAAUGCCAUGUACUUAUACUCGGGAGUCAGACUGCGAGUGAUAAGAUCCGUAGUCGAAAGGGAAACAGCCCAGACCACCAGUUAAGGUCCCCAAAUAUAUGUUAAGUGGAAAAGGAUGUGGGGUUGCUUAGACAACCAGGAUGUUGGCUUAGAAGCAGCCACCAUUGAAAGAGUGCGUAAUAGCUCACUGGUCGAGUGACCCCGCGCCGAAAAUGUACCGGGGCUAAACAUAUUACCGAAACUGUGGAUGAACCUCUUUAGAGGUUCGUGGUAGGAGAGCGUUCUAAGGGCGGUGAAGUCAGACCGGAAGGACUGGUGGAGCGCUUAGAAGUGAGAAUGCCGGUAUGAGUAGCGAAAGAAGGGUGAGAAUCCCUUCCACCGAAUAUCUAAGGUUUCCUGAGGAAGGCUCGUCCGCUCAGGGUUAGUCGGGACCUAAGCCGAGGCCGAUAGGCGUAGGCGAUGGACAACAGGUAGAGAUUCCUGUACCAGUGCUAAUUGUUUAACCGAUGGGGUGACACAGAAGGAUAGGGAAUCGCACGAAUGGAAAUGUGCGUCCAAGCAGUGAGUGUGAGAAGUAGGCAAAUCCGCUUCUCGCGAAGCAUGAGCUGUGAUGGGGAAGGAAAUUAAGUACGGAAGUUCCUGAUUUCACGCUGUCAAGAAAAGCCUCUAGGAAGAGUAGUACUGCCCGUACCGCAAACCGACACAGGUAGAUGAGGAGAGAAUCCUAAGGUGAGCGAGAGAACUCUCGUUAAGGAACUCGGCAAAAUGACCCCGUAACUUCGGGAGAAGGGGUGCUCUAUUAGGGUGCAAGCCCGAGAGAGCCGCAGUGAAUAGGCCCAGGCGACUGUUUAGCAAAAACACAGGUCUCUGCAAAACCGUAAGGUGACGUAUAGGGGCUGACGCCUGCCCGGUGCUGGAAGGUUAAGAGGAGUGCUUAGCUUCGGCGAAGGUACGAAUUGAAGCCCCAGUAAACGGCGGCCGUAACUAUAACGGUCCUAAGGUAGCGAAAUUCCUUGUCGGGUAAGUUCCGACCCGCACGAAAGGCGCAACGAUCUGGGCACUGUCUCAACGAGAGACUCGGUGAAAUUAUAGUACCUGUGAAGAUGCAGGUUACCCGCGACAGGACGGAAAGACCCCGUGGAGCUUUACUGCAACCUGAUAUGGAAUGUUUGUACCGCUUGUACAGGAUAGGUAGGAGCCGAAGAGACGUGUGCGCUAGCAUACGAGGAGGCAAUGGUGGGAUACUACCCUGGCUGUAUGACCAUUCUAACCCGCCACGCUUAGCGCGUGGGGAGACAGUGUCAGGUGGGCAGUUUGACUGGGGCGGUCGCCUCCUAAAGAGUAACGGAGGCGCCCAAAGGUUCCCUCAGAAUGGAUGGAAAUCAUUCGCAGAGUGUAAAGGCACAAGGGAGCUUGACUGCGAGACUGACAAGUCGAGCAGGGACGAAAGUCGGGCUUAGUGAUCCGGUGGUUCCGCAUGGAAGGGCCAUCGCUCAACGGAUAAAAGCUACCCCGGGGAUAACAGGCUUAUCUCCCCCAAGAGUCCACAUCGACGGGGAGGUUUGGCACCUCGAUGUCGGCUCGUCGCAUCCUGGGGCUGUAGUCGGUCCCAAGGGUUGGGCUGUUCGCCCAUUAAAGCGGCACGCGAGCUGGGUUCAGAACGUCGUGAGACAGUUCGGUCCCUAUCCGUCGCGGGCGCAGGAAAUUUGAGAGGAGCUGUCCUUAGUACGAGAGGACCGGGAUGGACACACCGCUGGUGUACCAGUUGUUCCGCCAGGAGCAUCGCUGGGUAGCUAUGUGUGGCAGGGAUAAACGCUGAAAGCAUCUAAGCGUGAAGCCCCCCUCAAGAUGAGAUUUCCCAUUUCUUCGGAAAGUAAGAUCCCUGAAAGAUGAUCAGGUAGAUAGGUUUGGAGUGGAAGUGUAGCGAUACAUGGAGCGGACAAAUACUAAUCGAUCGAGGACUUAACCAAAA
rnacentral:rRNA from 1 species